rnacentral:rRNA from 1 species
GACGAACGCUGGCGGCGUGCUUAACACAUGCAAGUCGAACGGAAAGGCCCUGCUUUUGUGGGGUGCUCGAGUGGCGAACGGGUGAGUAACACGUGAGUAACCUGCCCUUGACUUUGGGAUAACUUCAGGAAACUGGGGCUAAUACCGGAUAGGAGCUCCUGCUGCAUGGUGGGGGUUGGAAAGUUUCGGCGGUUGGGGAUGGACUCGCGGCUUAUCAGCUUGUUGGUGGGGUAGUGGCUUACCAAGGCUUUGACGGGUAGCCGGCCUGAGAGGGUGACCGGCCACAUCGGGACUGAGAUACGGCCCAGACUCCUACGGGAGGCAGCAGUGGGGAAUAUUGCACAAUGGGCGGGAGCCUGAUGCAGCAACGCCGCGUGCGGGAUGACGGCCUUCGGGUUGUAAACCGCUUUCGCCUGUGACGAAGCGUGAGUGACGGUAAUGGGUAAAGAAGCACCGGCUAACUACGUG